AUGACAUUGGCAGAAGAUGUGAACCUUGAAGAGUUUGUGAUGACCAAAGAUGAGUUUUCUGGUGCUGAUAUCAAAGCCAUUUGUACUGAAGCUGGAUUGCUUGCCUUAAGAGAGCGCAGGAUGAAGGUGACACAUGCUGACUUCAAGAAGGCCAAAGAGAAGGUAAUGUUCAAGAAGAAGGAAGGUGUACCGGAGGGGAUGUACAUGUGA
rnacentral:rRNA from 1 species